GGUCCUCUGCCGCGUGGUUGGAAGUUAUGGCCGCGCCGGUCCGUGGUACUCUCCUUGAAAGGCCUAGGCUUUGGGGGAUGGGAUGCAUGGCAUGGGCACUCGGGAGACAAGAUGCAGGUGCCAUCGCAGAAGUAAUGGCUGGAUCCCUGAAAGCAAACGGACUCGGUGUGGUCGCCAGUCAGAAGGCAUGGGAAGAUGGAUGGCGGGCAUCUGCCUGGCGCACAGAUCUGAAGUUGGCGUCGAGCCCCCCUCAGUGCAUCUCGAUUGAGGUGUCGUCUCCAGGAAUCAUCGAUGUGAGGCGUGGGGCAGAAGGGCCUUCGGGAUGACUAUUAUUGGUCACUGCCCCGUGCCAGAGAGAACCAGAUUGCCUGCUGCUGUUCCUGCCUUUAAUUUACCAGUCAUCUACAGACCUUGAAGUGUGUUCUGCAAGAGGGGCCAGCAGAGCCUCGUGACUGUGGUCACCCUCGGAGGCCUUUGGCGACUGGGGAGGGCUGUCAGGCCUGGGCGGGGCCCUGUCAAGCCUAGGAAAGCAUUUCUCAGUGGAUUUCCUGGAAGUCGGGGUUGGGCUUUGUAUUUUGAAGCACAAAUAAACUUUAUAAAAUUUAA